AGUAUGGUUUAAGCUCUGUGAACGAUGGGGUAGCGAGGCCUUCCAGAAAAUAGCAAGUAAAAAUCGGGACAAUAGAAGGAUGCUGAAAAUUAACCACACAACUGGUCGCAAAUCCUUUGUGAGGAUGCUAGAACAAAAGCGUGCUGAAAAUGCAAAUUUGGUGGACUUCUACAAGGAAACCCACUGGUCCAAGAAGAAAGAUAAAUUUGUGACACCUGCUACCGAAGACAUUUAUAAGGAUAUGGUAGGAAAGCUGGAUAA